rnacentral:lncRNA from 1 species
UUUAUUAUAUUUAUAGUUGUACAAUGAUCAUCACAACCCAAUUUUGUAGCAUGUCCGUCCCCAAACCCCAGCCCAUCCACCAACCCCCCAAACUGUCUCAUUUGGAAAACAAGUUUUUCAAAGUCUGUGAGUCAGUAGUAUCUGCUCUGCAAAGAAGUUAGUCAUGUCCUUUUUUUAGAUUCUACAUGCAAGUGAUAGCAUAUGAUGUUGAUGUCUCACUGUCUGACUGAUUUCAGUUAGCAUGAUAGCUUCCAGGUCCAUCCAUAUUGCUGCACAUGAUGUCAAUUCUUUACUUUUAAUGGCUGAGUAAUAUUUCAUUGUGUACAUGUACCACAUCUUCUUUAUCCACCCUUCUGUCAAUGGACAUUUAUUUAGGUUGUUUCCAUGUCUUGGCUAUUGUAUAGAGUACUGCAGUGAACAUUGGAGUACAUAUAUCUUUUCGAGUAAUGGUUUUCUCUGGAUAGAUGCCCAGGAGUGGGAUUGCUGGAUCAAAUGGUAAUUCUAUUUUUAGUUUUCUGAGGAAUCUCCAUACUGUUUGUCACAGUGGUUGCACCAAAUUACAUUCCCACCAACAGUGUAAUAAGGUUCCCAGGCUAGGAGUCAAAUUAGAGCUACAACUGCCGGCCUGCGCCACAGCCACAGCAACACAGGAUCCGAGCCGUGUCUGCAGCCACAGCCAGAUCCUUAACCCACUGAGCAAGGCCAGGGAUCGAACCCGCAACCUCAUGGUUCCUAGUCAGAUUCAUUUCCACUGCACCAUGACAGGAACUCCACAAACCCCAAUUUUUUAAUGUACACUUUAUUUAUUAAAAUGUUAUUAGUAGACUUUUAAUGUUCUGUUAAUUUCAGGUAUACAGCAAAGUGAAUCAGUUAUUCAUAUAUCCAUUCCUUUUCAGAUUCUUUUCCCAUAGAUGUUAUUACAGAAUGUUGAGUAGAUUCCCCUGUGCUCUACAGUAGGUCCUUGUUAUUUAUUUUAUAUAGUAGUGUGUAUAUGUCAAUUCCAACCUCCUAAUUUACCCCUCCCUGUAACAUUUCCCCUUUGGUAAUCAUAAGUUUGGUUUUGAAAUCUUUGAGUCUGUUCUGUUUUUGUGAAUAAGUUUUUAUGUAUCAUUUUUUAUUAGCUUCUACAUGGUAGUGAUCUCAUGUGAUACUUGUCUUUAUCUGACUUUGCUUAGUAUGUUAAUUUCUAGGUCCAUUCAUGUUGUUGCAAAUGGCAUUAUUUCAUCUUUUUUGUGGCCGGUAAUAUUUUAUUGUAUAUAUGUACCACAUCCUCUUUAUCCAUUCCUCUCUUGAUGGACGCAGGUUGCUUCCAUGUCUUGGCUAAUGUAAAUAGUGCUGCAGUGAACAUUGGAAUGCACGUAUCUUUUCAAAUUAUGGUUUUCUCCAGAUAUAUGCCCAGCAGUGGGAUUGCUGGAUCACAUGGUAGUUAUAUAUUUAGGGUUUUUUUUUUUAAUUCAUGUGUUUGUUUUUUUAAGUUUUAUUGAGGUAUAGUUAAUUUACAAGUUUGUGAAAAUUUCUACUGUAUGACAAAGUGACCCAGUCAUGCACAUAUCCAUUCUCUCAGAUUCUUUUCCCACAUAGAUUAUCACAGAAUACUAGGUAGAGUUCUCUGUGCUAUACAGCAGAUCCCUGUUGGCCAGUCAUUCUGUAUACUUCCGUGUGCACAUGCCAGUCCUAAGCCUCCAGUCCAUUUCUCCCACCCCCGCAACCUGUCUCCUUUGGUAACCAUGAGUUGUUCAAGUCUGUGGGUCUGUUUCUGUUCUGCAAAUAAGUUCAUUUGUAUCCUUUUUUUAGAUUCCACAUAUAGGUGAGGUGAUGUUUGUUCUUCACUGUCUGACUAACUUCCCUUGAGUUUCUAGGUCCAUCCGUGUUGCUGCAAAUGGCAUUAUUUCAUUCUUUUUAUGCUGAAUAAUAUUCCAUUGUAUAUGUACCACAUCUUUAUCCAUUCCUCUGUCGAUGAACAUUUAGGUUGCUUCCAUGUCUUAGCUAUUAUAAACAGUGCUUCAAUGAACAUUUGGGUGCAUAUAUCUUUUUGAAUGAUGGUUUUCUCUGGAUAGAUGCCUAGGAGUGGGAUUGCUGGAUCAUAUGGUAGUUCUAUUUUUAGUUUUUUGAGGACCUCCAUACUGUUUUCCAUAGUAGUUGCACCAAUGUGCAUUCCCACCAACAGUGUAAAAAAAGAGAGAGGACUCAAAUCAAUUAAAUUAGAAAUGAAAAAGAAGUUACAGCAGACAUCACAGAAAUACAAAGGAUCAUAAGAGACUACUACAAGAAGCUAUAUGCUAAUAAAAAUGGACAACUUCGAAGAAAUGGACGAAUUUUUAGAAAGGUACAAUCUUCCAAGAAUAAACCAGGAAGAAAUAGAAAAGAUGCAUGGACCAAUCACAAGUACUGAAAUUGAAGCUGUGAUUAAAGAACUUCCAACAAACAAAAGUCCAGGACCAGAUGGCUUCACAGGCGAAUUCUAUCAAAAAUUUAGAGAAGAGUUAACACCUAUCCUGAAACUAUUCCAAAAAAUGGCAGAGGAAGGAACACUCUAUAUUUAGUUUUUUUUAAGGAAUCUCCAAACUGUUCUCCAUAGUUCCAAACCCCAGUUGUAAGUAAUGUGAGUGAUAUAGAAAUUGCGUUUCUUCUUAAAUCUUACCCUUCAGGGUGUUCCCUUGUGGCGCAGCAUGUUAAGGAUCUGGUGUUGUCGCUGCAGCAGCUCAGGAUGCUCUUGUGGCACAGGUUCAGUCCCUGGCCUGGGAACAUCUAUAUGCU